AGUGAACGCUGGCGGCGUGCUUAACUCAUGCAAGUCGAACGAGAACGGAAUAUAGCUUGCUAUAUUUGUCGGCUAAGUGGCGCACGGGUGAGUAAUGUAUAGAUAACCUGCCCUUAAGAAAGGAAUAACAGUUGGAAACGACUGCUAAUGCCCUAUAUGCCUUUAAUACAUAAGUAUGCAAGGGAAACGCUUUAGUGCUUAAGGAUGGGUCUGUAUGGUAUCAGCUUGUCGGUGAGGUAAUGGCUCACCAAGGCUAUGACGCCUAACUGGUUUGAGAUGAUGAUCAGUCACACUGGAACUGAGACACGGUCCAGACUCCUACGGGAGGCAGCCGUGGGGAAUAUUGCACAAUGGACGAAAGUCUGAUGCAGCAACGCCGCGUGGAGGAUGACACAUUUCGGUGCGUAAACUCCUUUUAUAUAGGAAGAUAAUGACGGUACUAUAUGAAUAAGCACCGGCUAACUCCGUGCCAGCCGUCGCUGUAA
rnacentral:rRNA from 1 species